UGAAGAAAAUCCUGAUGGCAGUGACUGGAUUAUCACCUGUAAUCUGCACAGUGAUAGCAGAAAUUCUGAGUCGCCGUUGGAAGAAUAAAGCAAACUGAUGGAGAAUCAGAGGAUCUUCAGGACAAACCAGUUCAGGUUCCCAGUGUCCCAAUCCAGACCAGCAGGAUGGUGGAG